UGGGGAAUUUUGGACAAUGGGGGCAACCCUGAUCCAGCAAUGCCGCGUGUGUGAAGAAGGCCUUCGGGUUGUAAAGCACUUUUGUCCGGAAAGAAAACGCCGUGGUUAAUACCCGUGGCGGAUGACGGUACCGGAAGAAUAAGCACCGGCUAACUACGUGCCAGCAGCCGCGGUAAUACGUAGGGUGCAAGCGUUAAUCGGAAUUACUGGGCGUAAAGCGUGCGCAGGCGGUCCGCUAAGACAGAUGUGAAAUCCCCGGGCUUAACCUGGGAACUGCAUUUGUGACUGGCGGGCUAGAGUAUGGCAGAGGGGGGUAGAAUUCCACGUGUAGCAGUGAAAUGCGUAGAGAUGUGGAGGAAUACCGAUGGCGAAGGGCAGCCCCCCUGGGCCAAUACUGACGCUCAUGCACGAAAGCGUGGGGGAGCAAACAGGAUUAGAUACCCUGGUAGUCCACGCCCUAAACGAUGUCAACUAGUUGUCGGGUCUUCAUUGACUUGGU
rnacentral:rRNA from 1 species